rnacentral:rRNA from 1 species
GACGAACGCUGGCGGCGUGCUUAACACAUGCAAGUCGAACGGACAGGCCCUGCUCUUGUUGGUUGCUCGUUUGGCGAACGGGUGAGUAACACGUGAGUAUCCUGCCCUUGUCUUUGUGAUAACUUUACGAAACUGGGGCUAAUACCGGAUAUGAGCUCCUGCUCCAUGUUGGGGGUUGGAAAGUUUCGGCGGUUGGGGAUGGUCUCGCGGCUUAUCCGCUUGUUGGUGUGGUAGUGGCUUACCAAGGCUUCGACGGGUAGCCGGCCUGAGAGGUUGACCGGCCACAAUGGGACUGAGAGACGGCCCAGAAGCGUACGGGAGGCAGCAGUGGGGAAUAUUGCACAAUGGGCGGAAGCCUGAUGCAACAACGCCGCGUGCGGAAUGACGGCCUUCGGGUGGUAAACCGCUUUCGCAUGUGACGAAGCGUGAGUGACGGUAAUGGGUAAAGAAGCACCGGCUAACUACGUG